rnacentral:rRNA from 1 species
GUGGGGAAUAUUGGACAAUGGGCGCAAGCCUGAUCCAGCAAUGCCGCGUGGGUGAAGAAGGCCUUCGGGUUGUAAAGUUCUUUAGCCGAUGAUUAUAAUGACUGUAGUCGGAAAAUAAGCCCCGGCUAACUUCGUGCCAGCAGCCGCGGUAAUACGAAGGGGGCGAGCGUUAUUCGGAAUCACUGGGCGUAAAGCGUGCGUAGGCGGUCUCGUAAGUUAGGAAUGAAAGCCCAGGGCUCAACCUUGGAAUUGCUCUUAGUACUGCAAGGCUAGAAUCUCGGAGAGGAUAGCGGAAUAUCCAGUGUAGCAGUGAAAUGCGUAUAUAUUGGAAGGAACACCAGUGGCGUAAGCGGCUAUCUGGACGAGUAUUGACGCUGAGGCACGAAAGCGUGGGGAUCAAACAGGAUUAGAAACCCUUGUAGUCC